GGCUCAGAUUGAACGCUGGCGGCAGGCCUAACACAUGCAAGUCGAACGGUAGCACAGAGAGCUUGCUCUUGGGUGACGAGUGGCGGACGGGUGAGUAAUGUCUGGGAAACUGCCCGAUGGAGGGGGAUAACUACUGGAAACGGUAGCUAAUACCGCAUAACGUCUUCGGACCAAAGUGGGGGACCUUCGGGCCUCACACCAUCGGAUGUGCCCAGAUGGGAUUAGCUAGUAGGUGGGGUAACGGCUCACCUAGGCGACGAUCCCUAGCUGGUCUGAGAGGAUGACCAGCCACACUGGAACUGAGACACGGUCCAGACUCCUACGGGAGGCAGCAGUGGGGAAUAUUGCACAAUGGGCGCAAGCCUGAUGCAGCCAUGCCGCGUGUAUGAAGAAGGCCUUCGGGUUGUAAAGUACUUUCAGUGGGGAGGAAGGCGAUGRAGUUAAUAGCUUCGUCGAUUGACGUUACCCGCAGAAGAAGCACCGGCUAACUCCGUGCCAGCAGCCGCGGUAAUACGGAGGGUGCAAGCGUUAAUCGGAAUUACUGGGCGUAAAGCGCACGCAGGCGGUCUGUCAAGUCGGAUGUGAAAUCCCCGGGCUCAACCUGGGAACUGCAUUCGAAACUGGCAGGCUAGAGUCUUGUAGAGGGGGGUAGAAUUCCAGGUGUAGCGGUGAAAUGCGUAGAGAUCUGGAGGAAUACCGGUGGCGAAGGCGGCCCCCUGGACAAAGACUGACGCUCAGGUGCGAAAGCGUGGGGAGCAAACAGGAUUAGAUACCCUGGUAGUCCACGCCGUAAACGAUGUCGACUUGGAGGUUGUGCCCUUGAGGCGUGGCUUCCGGAGCUAACGCGUUAAGUCGACCGCCUGGGGAGUACGGCCGCAAGGUUAAAACUCAAAUGAAUUGACGGGGGCCCGCACAAGCGGUGGAGCAUGUGGUUUAAUUCGAUGCAACGCGAAGAACCUUACCUGGCCUUGACAUCCACGGAAUUUGGCAGAGAUGCCUUAGUGCCUUCGGGAACCGUGAGACAGGUGCUGCAUGGCUGUCGUCAGCUCGUGUUGUGAAAUGUUGGGUUAAGUCCCGCAACGAGCGCMACCCUUAUCCUUUGUUGCCAGCAMGUAAUGGUGGGAACUCAAAGGAGACUGCCGGUGAUAAACCGGAGGAAGGUGGGGAUGACGUCAAGUCAUCAUSGCCCUUACGGCCAGGGCUACACACGUGCUACAAUGGCGCAUACAAAGAGAAGCGACCUCGCGAGAGCAAGCGGACCUCAUAAAGUGCGUCGUAGUCCGGAUCGGAGUCUGCAACUCGACUCCGUGAAGUCGGAAUCGSUAGUAAUCGUAGAUCAGAAUGCUACGGUGAAUACGUUCCCSGGCCUUGUMCACACCGCCCGUCACACCAUGGGAGUGGGUUGCAAAAGAAGUAGGUAG
rnacentral:rRNA from 1 species